rnacentral:tRNA from 2 species
GCGAGCUUGGCGGAAUGGUAGACGCACGAGACUUAAAAUCUCGAGUCCUAAAAGGACGUGCGGGUUCGAGUCCCGCAGCUCGCA